rnacentral:rRNA from 1 species
UACGGAGGUGGCGAGCGUUGCUCGGAUUCAUUGGGUGUAAAGGGUCGGUAGGCGGUCUGAUAAGUGCCCGGUGAAAUUCUGCAGCUCAACUGCAGAGCGUUCGGGUAGACUGUCGGACUUGAGGACUGGAGGGGCAAGCGGAAUUCCCGGUGUAAGAGUGAAAUCUGUAGAUAUCGGGAGGAACACCAGUGGCGAAGGCGGCUUGCUGGACAGUCCCUGACGCUGAGCGACGAAAGCGUGGGGAGCAAACAGGAUUAGAAACCCCAGUAGU